CAAUGGGCGCAAGCCUGAUGCAGCGACGCCGCGUGAGGGAUGACGGCCUUCGGGUUGUAAACCUCUUUCAGCAGGGAAGAAGCGAAAGUGACGGUACCUGCAGAAGAAGCGCCGGCUAACUACGUGCCAGCAGCCGCGGUAAUACGUAGGGCGCAAGCGUUGUCCGGAAUUAUUGGGCGUAAAGAGCUCGUAGGCGGCUUGUCGCGUCUGCUGUGAAAGCCCGGGGCUUAACCCCGGGUGUGCAGUGGGUACGGGCAGGCUAGAGUGCAGUAGGGGAGACUGGAAUUCCUGGUGUAGCGGUGAAAUGCGCAGAUAUCAGGAGGAACACCGAUGGCGAAGGCAGGUCUCUGGGCUGUUACUGACGCUGAGGAGCGAAAGCAUGGGGAGCGAACAGGAUUAGAUACCCUGGUAGUCCAUGCCGUAAACGUUGGGCACUAGGUGUGGGGGACAUUCCACGUUUUCCGCGCCGUAGCUAACGCAUUAAGUGCCCCGCCUGGGGAGUACGGCCGCAAGGCUAAAACUCAAAGGAAUUGACGGGGGCCCGCACAAGCGGCGGAGCAUGCGGAUUAAUUCGAUGCAACGCGAAGAACCUUACCAAGGCUUGACAUACACCGGAUCGCAGCAGAGAUGUUGUUUCCCCUUUGGGGCUGGUGUACAGGUGGUGCAUGGUUGUCGUCAGCUCGUGUCGUGAGAUGUUGGGUUAAGUCCCGCAACGAGCGCAACCCUCGUUCUAUGUUGCCAGCACGUGAUGGUGGGGACUCAUAGGAGACUGCCGGGGUCAACUCGGAGGAAGGUGGGGAUGACGUCAAAUCAUCAUGCCCCUUAUGUCUUGGGCUUCACGCAUGCUACAAUGGCCGGUACAAUGGGUUGCGAUACUGUGAGGUGGAGCUAAUCCCAAAAAGCCGGUCUCAGUUCGGAUUGGGGUCUGCAACUCGACCCCAUGAAGUCGGAGUCGCUAGUAAUCGCAGAUCAGCAACGCUGCGGUGAAUACGUUCCCGGGCCUUGUACACACCGCCCGUCAAGUCACGAAAGUUGGUAACACCCGAAGCCGAUGGCCUAACCCUUGUGGAGGGA
rnacentral:rRNA from 2 species